rnacentral:rRNA from 1 species
AUUGAACGCUGGCGGCAUGCCUUACACACGCAAGUCGAACGGUAACGGGCCUUCGGGUGCCGACGAGUGGCGAACGGGUGAGUAAUGCAUCGGAACGUACCUUUCAGUGGGGGAUAACAUAGCGAAAGUUACGCUAAUACCGCAUAUUCUGUGAGCAGGAAAGCAGGGGAUCGCAAGACCUUGCGCUGAUUGAGCGGCCGAUGUCAGAUUAGCUAGUUGGUGAGGUAAAGGCUCACCAAGGCGACGAUCUGUAGCGGGUCUGAGAGGAUGAUCCGCCACACUGGGACUGAGACACGGCCCAGACUCCUACGGGAGGCAGCAGUGGGGAAUUUUGGACAAUGGGGGCAACCCUGAUCCAGCCAUGCCGCGUGAGUGAAGAAGGCCUUCGGGUUGUAAAGCUCUUUCGGCCGGGAAGAAAUCGCACAGGCUAAUACCUUGUGUGGAUGACGGUACCGGAAUAAGAAGCACCGGCUAACUACGUGCCAGCAGCCGCCGUAAGAC